rnacentral:sRNA from 8 species
CAACGGUGUUUUGAGCCCUCCUAGCUUCUCCUGCGCUGGGUCAUGGUCAAAGGUCGGCAUGGGGACAUGCGUCCGAACAGGCUUCGUCAGCCAGGACAAUACGGAUGAUCAGUCAGCCUGUCAGGCCAGCUGCAUGAAUGACGCA